UCGAGUUAGGGUCUUCUAGGCCCGACCUCCCAACCCUUUGUUUACUGAACCACUGUUGCUUCGGCGGGCCCGUCUCGCGACCGCCGGAGGAGCGCUGAAAGGCGUGUCCUCUGGCCCGCGCCCGCCGAUGGCCAACCACAAAACUCUGUAUAAAUCGUGUCUUCAUGUCUAAGUCAGUGGUUGAAUUAAAAGCA
rnacentral:misc_RNA from 1 species